GGGAAUGUUCAAAUGUCUGAUGAAGCUUCAUGUGGCCAAUGCUGCCUGAAGCUGCUGGUGGGAUGAAAGUCAGGGAAUAUCACACAGAGACAAUAUAAAUUAAUCACACAAAUAAUAAUAAAUAUUAUCAUGUGUUCAAUAAUAUCACACCAAGAGACAAACACAUUUAUUCUUUGAUCGUGCAGUUCCAUUUCUGAAAAUCCUACCCUGAAUACAUUUGCUUGUGUGAAAAAUGGCCCACGCAACAUUGUUCUCCACAGCAAAGCCUGGGAAGAACCUAAAUUCACCAACAGAGGACUGGCGUCCUGAAGUUCUGCCGUGGAGCUUUUUAGGAACUGAUGCAGGAAGAUCUCUGAGCUGCAUUUUAGGUAAGAAUCACGAUGCAGAACAGUAUGUCUGGUAAGGAAGGAAGACUGUCAUUAAACUGUCUUGGAAAGGCACCUCUGAAACUCCCACUCCUGGUAAGCUUUUUGUAGUAUCUUGUUUCCCUCGCUCCUGCAGAGAGAAGGAUAUGGAUGGCUGUGGGACUGAUGAGAAGACGGAUUUCUGUUCUUCGAAGCUUCAACACGGGUAAUAAUUACUCAGGGACAGAAGGGUCCCCUGGGGAGAGCUGAGAGGCCCGAGCCCUUUUUAGAGGGAGGAAAGGCAGCCUUCGAGGCCAGUGGUUUCCAAGCAGUCCCGUGGUUUUGCCUCUGGAGCAGGCAGCACUGUCCUCCCUAGCGCCUCCUUGUGCAGGUCGCCGUGCUGACCCAUGCUCCCCUAUUAACCCAUACAAUCCAAACCCCCUAGCAACAGACCCCAUGUCCAGUCAAUGCAGUGUCAAGCUUCAGGGGCGUGGAGAUGGGGCCUGCAGCCCCUGGCGCGGCUGUGACCCAGCUCUGGCUCCCCGCUCCUCGGAAGGGCUUUCACUGAGUAACCCAUGAUAAAGUUACUUCCGCUUUGCACUGUCUUCUGACUCCUCUUCUUCUUCCCAUGUCAGAGACAGACAGGCCUGGCGAGGGUGAAUCUGGGGACCCUAGAGCCCAGACCCACGGCCCACUGGAUGCAACAGUACAGUAUUGUUAAGACCCAAGAUCUAAACCUGUAUGGGAAUGAAUGAGCCUCAAGAUGUCAGAUGGCUCCAUGUGUGGUUGGAGCCUGGUCCCAGAUGCUCAGCUGAUGAGCCUCCCCUUCCACUCAAGACCUCCAUGGCCCACUGUGGAGUCAGUGACAGGAAACCGAUCUCUAGAUCAGAGUUGGAGCAUCUGUGAAAGGCCUGGUCAUACAAUUAUCUUUGCAAAUGAUAGUGCUGUUUUCCCUUUUGCACUUUGCAAGAGAGCAGACUGAGUGGCACAGAUUUUAGGGUCCUCUUUGGGGCUCUCGCCUGGGGCCUAUGAGUGUGUGGACACAGCAGAUUGUCCAGGGCGGGGGGGGGGCUUUGUCCCUCUGUGGUGCUGAGACUGGGGGAUGCCUGUGGAGCCUGGGCAGUGGGCAUGGACGAGGCUGGUCCCAGUCGGGCCCAAGAGAGGGUCUCCACUGUGCGGAGAGCAGUGCUCGGCGGGCAGAAUGGAACUGCAGCUCACACCUGGUGUCCGUGGGGACAGUACGCGAGCUGCGGUCGAAGACUCAGUCAAAUUCCCAGCCUGUGUGCAAGCAGCUUGGCAGAGCAGGUCCCGAGUCGUCACCAGCAUGACUUGGCCACAUCCCUGUGAUAACUGUCCUUGUGUCCACACCGCCGGUCACAGAACCCAAAGGCCAACUGGCCCAGGGAGCACCUGAAGCUGCAGAGUGCCGGAGGGCUGUGCAGAGCCUGUAUGCGACUCCCUCACGCAGCAGGCCACCGCCCCGUAGUGGGGGACACGUGGCUGGAGAGGACAGUGUUAAAUUCAGAGCUGCCCAAGGAGAGCCACACCCCCCAGAAGGGGAGACCAGGAUGGAUGGCAGCACUUAACAGCAUGUUCCAAUUACAGCGUUUAAAUCUAAUUGCAUACGCUGUUAAUCUCUGUCAGCUCAGCAUCGCUUAAUAUCAUCGCGCAGCCUCUAAUAUCACGAGCAACAUGAGCUGAGCUAAGACUGUUGAGAAAGUUCAGUCCCAGGUCUUCUCAGCCCCUUUAAUUCUCUCUGUCAAUUACACCCCUCCCAGAGUUCAGAUGAAGGUCUUGAGAUCCGGCUUGGAGCCACCUCUCUGAAGCGAAGCCUCCUGUAAAUAUACAGAUGAUAUCAGGAGCCUCCGCUGAUUUUUGACAGGUUAGCAGCAGUGACUAGUCCCUGGGGUAUCACUUACUCUGAGCUUAUUUCAAACAAAUAUUGCAAAUGCAAUCUGUCCCACAGUUUACAGUUCUGGAAUAGUGGGGUAUCACUUGCACAAGUACUUUCCCCUGCACGAUCUCUCUGGCCCAAAUAAGACUGGUGGGAGAGGGCCACACAGAUUUAGCCCAUGCCCCUGCACACGCACGCUUUUUAUCUUUGUUUAUUCUUGUUCAAAAUGACAGUCGAUGAGCAUAGAAGAUCUGCUCACAGAUUUAGAUUUUAAAACGUAACUCUUGAGUCAUAAAAACAAAUUUAAGAACACUACCAACUCUAUUUAAAUUCCAUAUAGGACGCCUUGAAUUAUUGGCUCAUUUAAAGCAGUCCUAUUUUUAGAUACCAUUCGACCUCCAUUUUAUAGCUGAGGAGAUUAGAGCAAAGGGAAACCAGACAUUUUGCCUGUGGACUUCCAGCUGGGAAAUGGGGGGCAGAGCGUGAAACCCAGGCAAAGGGACCCCUGAGUGCUCCCAGGACCAGCUCUGCAUGCUCUUUGAGAUGUUCUGGGGACAGGAACCCGCUCACAGGAGUGAGUGAGCAGCCAGACAUGCUCUCAGGAGCAGGCGCCCAAGAUGAACACUCUGGGGGAACAAAGAAGGCAAGGAAAGGCAGAGUUCAUCAAGAGCUGCAGCUGGAGGGGAGCAAUGGACAUGGACCUCGUAUGAGGGUUUAUACGGGGGACAGAGAGAGGCAGAGGGCUGGGGGAGGGCAUGGAAACCUGAGCUCCUUUGGAAGGCCCAGCCGACAAGAGACUCUGAAUGGCAGGAUGGAAAUAAGAGGAGUCACCCAGAGACAUGCAACCCCAGCUCCACCUGCUGUCUGCACAGCCUGGGGUGCCAGCUGGGCCCCUUCUCGGGGAGGGGGUCACAGUGGUGCAGUGUGGCGUGAAGCCUCACCUGGCAAUUCCUGCCACCUGGACCUCGGGCAGGGUGCUCAUGCCGCUGAAGGUAGGUGUAGGGACGAUGCUAAUGGUGUAAGCAGGCCGCCGAGCACUGCCCAGCACUCUCCUGGCACACGCUCCUGCCACAGUGCCCAGUCUCAUCCAGGCCCACAGAACGUGGCCCGCUGGCUGUGGCCGGGGCUCCCCAGGACUGUGAGCUGGAACGGUUUCUCCUCGUGUGCUGGCCGUCUCAGGCAUCUGUCAUAGAGAGGGGACGCUAGCUGACGCAGGCCUCUUCCUUGGAAGCAGUGAGGUCUGCAGCUUCUUCAGCUGGAAUUACAACAGCAAGUAGGGGUCCCAUUGGGAGACUGGGGGACAGAGAGAGAGAUCUGGCCGCAGCGCAGAGCAGAAGGGUCAGAGCAGGGGCGGGAAGCGCUGCCGGCCGAGCUGGGUGAGGCCGGGUGACCAUGCCGGGGAAGGCCCAUUGCACCCCCAUUCUUUCCUCAUUCCUGGAGAGGAAGUGAAGCCAAAUGGUGAUCUGGGACCCGCGGUGGUCACAGAACUAGGCGGCGGUGCUUCAGCAUUCCGGGCAGACGUGCCCUAGAAGGCCCCAGCCCACACCCCCCCAAACCUGCGAAAAUGCAAGCCCUUACCAUUGCACGCCGUUGUGAAUAACGCAGCAGCUGAGCGGCAGCCUGGUGACUAGCACCGUGUCCCCCAGCACAGGCAUCAGUCCAGCACUCCUCCAUCCUAGAUCUCAGUUUUCGCUGCGUCUUGUGGGAUGUGAUACGUGUUUCGUGCAUGUAAGUCUGAGGCCCCACGCUUACGUUGCUGAGUGAGUGAAGCGGCCUUGGUAAUGUCGGGUGGGAGCAGAAGACUGGUCACAACAAACAAAAACACGGUUGAAAUGAUCGCUUUGCUUUUCAUUGUUUUCUUUAUGGGGCUUCCGUUGUGGGACUUUCUUGUGGAUGGGAAGAGAAAAAAGAAGUCAGAGACUUCCUCUGCUACUUCUUUGGGGUGCACACUUCACUCCUGAGCAAGAAGACUGAGGAGCUGGAAGAGAGCCCAAAGAAGCCCUCGUUUCGAUGCCCAGCCCUGGCACAGAGAGGUUCUGCCUGCAUGGCAGCCCUGAAGCAGCGUGCGCCAGGCCUUCCCACAGCGGAAACAUAAAAUGCAGGAGCAUGGAGGCAGACUGUCCAGCGCUGUGCAGAGGGGCAAAGGCCCUCCCGCCCGUUCUUCUGGUUCUCCAGAGAGGAAGAUCCCAUGGGCCUCGCAUCCGCCAAGAUCACAGGAGGCCAGUGUGGCUGCCAGACAGUACAGCUGGAGUCUGCCUGAAGAUGCUCCCUGUCUCAGGUCGCCUGCAUAGGGCUAGGGGCCUCCGGCUGAAGCGAUUAGGGCCUGCUGUCCCAGGGUACUGCCAGCCCGUGAUGGUGCUGGCACUUGCAGAAGCAACUGCAGUUUUACAGUCUCCUCAGCGUUUUCUUGAGUCAGUGCUUCUUCAUUGCAGAUAUUUAGAAGGUGGACAGGAGUCCAGAAAGAGGGGCCGAGCUUCUGCUUUAAUGAACGCCUGAUGUGUGUGGACCAGCAUCGGAACGGAAGGUUAUGAAGGGGUGCGAGGCAUGGGGCGAGGCCCGUGGAGCGCUCUGAGCUGGAGGUGCAGCUCUGGCCCACAGGCCGCGCCUGCGCAGCAGAUAAAUAUUUAACAACGCGCCCUGGAAGGAGGAGCCCUGACUGCAGCGCUCCAAGUUCUGCGGUGCAGUGUUCCUACCAGUGCUGCCAGUGGGGCGUUACCAGAGAUGCAGGAGCAGCUCUACUUCCGGCCACCUCCGGCCACCAGUGUGGCAGCCAGGGGGCUGUGAGACUGCGGAGGGCUUCUGGGACAGCGGCCCUGCUGAGUCUGAAAGUGGAAGAAAAACCCCAGAAGGGAUUGCUGCACCUCAGUUACCUACCGAAGAGACUCACUCUCGGACGUACUACAAAGCCAAGCAAGCACAUCAUGUACACUGAGGGAACAAGGCAAGUUCUUUAGUUGCACGGAUCAAAUUGGGCAGCAUUGGUUCCUGCUCUUUUUAGAAAUAUGAAAGCAUUUGGUCAACAUCGCCUGCCUGUGCCCUCUCGUAGUUUUCCUUGGUCAUAUGGCACUGUCAGAAGCUGCAUCUCUGUCCACUUUCCUUACCAGGCACAUUCUGCUCCCGCAGUCCUGCACUGGAGCUCUCACCGCCAGCUGCUGAGGACGGCCUUCGCUGAAGAGCUCUUCUCUGUGAAGCAUCAUCAGUUUGCUGCAUUUGUUACCUGAGACCUCUUUAAAGAUGCUCAGGGGCGUUUUGCAUGAUCUGAAAGGCACCCAUCUUUAUACUUGAAAGAAAGGUCACUGAAUUGUUCUGUGAUUCUGCGAUGCACAGGAAGACAAGGAGUCCAUGCUGUGCCUUCCUCGAAGACCAGCCUCUGAGUGACCCACCGAGCCCUGGUGUCCCCUGCUGGGGUCUGAGGGAGGACCCUGUGCAGGGACCACAGGCCACCCCAGGAGGCCUCCUCCUCCCUCUCCAGUCCUGCUCUCUGGGUCCUCCUCUGGUGCCUGCCCCGACAGAUGCUUUCUUGGCCCAUCCUCUGUGAGACUUCAUUUCUCUAGCACCUGCCCUGGGAAGAUUUUGCUUCUUCCCAAAUUUCUUCUUUCUACUCACAACUUAAAUACGUUCUGCCCCUGGCUCCUCCGAAAGUCAAAGCAAAUGGUUUCUGCAAGCCUUUCUGUCAGCCUGCAGGUUUGCAACUUAGUCCACCAAAACUUCCCUUGUUCUUUUCACUCUUCAGCCCAGUGUUGGCUCAGCUCAAGACACAGCUGCUUUUUUUUUUUUUAGUUCUUUUUUUUUGGUACUGGGGAUCAAACUCGGGUCCUUGCGCUU